rnacentral:rRNA from 1 species
UACGUAGGCAGCAAGCGUUGUUCGGAAUUACUGGGCGUAAAGAGUGUGUAGGCGGUGCUCUAAGUCUGUUGGGAAAUCUCCCGGCUUAACUGGGAGGGUGCAGCGGAAACUGGAAUGCUCGAGUAUGGGAGAGGUAAGCGGAAUUCCUGGUGUAGCGGUGAAAUGCGUAGAUAUCAGGAGGAACACCUGUGGUGUAGACAGCUUACUGGACCAUCACUGACGCUGAGACACGAAAGCGUGGGUAGCAAACAGG